AGACAUCAUCCUGUUACACACAUCAUUAGCAACAGGCCUCUGAUUCUAACCCGGACACUGUGCCUUCACCACCUGAGGCCGUAUCUGAACCAAGAAUGCAUCAGGCUGCCUAAGAGGUUCCAUCUGCGCAGUGACUACAGCCUGCUCCUUACCUCAAGCCCAGGCCUCAGUUUCUCCAAGUGUAACACUGUACGGUGUGGACCUGCCAGCCUUCCAUACAGCCUGAUAUAAAGAAUGUCGCUUCGUCAACUGUCCAGAGUCAAGAAAUGCCCAUGUGAACUGCACAGUCCUGAGUGCAGCAAAGCCAGUGGCUCUGUCCCAGCAUGCCCUUCAGCUCUGACAUUUGGGCUUCACCGACCAGGUGCAUGGACUGUCGUCACCGAAACCCCGAGUCAGGGAAAGCUCUCCUUUAAACUGUUUCCUGGAAUUCGUGACAGCUGUGGAAAACCAGCACCUCAUUUGUAGUGAGACUGGAGCAUGUGCUGGCAGCCACGCUCAGCACAGCAGCCGGGAGAGACAGCUCUGCGGUUAAAAGCACCUGCUGCGUUCCCAGCACCGUGUCAAGGGGUCCCCAACAGCCUGCAACGGCAGCUUCAGGGAUCUGAGCCCUGCUUCUGGCCUGCAGAGGUGUCUGUGUG